rnacentral:rRNA from 1 species
GUGGAUAACCUGCCGUAUACCGGGGGAUAACACUUAGAAAUAGGUGCUAAUACCGCAUGAGCGCACAGCUCCGCAUGGAGCAGUGUGAAAAACUCCGGUGGUAUACGAUGGAUCCGCGUCUGAUUAGCCAGUUGGCGGGGUAACGGCCCACCAAAGCGACGAUCAGUAGCCGGCCUGAGAGGGUGAACGGCCACAUUGGGACUGAGACACGGCCCAGACUCCUACGGGAGGCAGCAGUGGGGAAUAUUGCACAAUGGGGGAAACCCUGAUGCAGCGACGCCGCGUGAGUGAAGAAGUAUCUCGGUAUGUAAAGCUCUAUCAGCAGGAAAGAUAAUGACGGUACCUGACUAAGAAGCCCCGGCUAACUACGUGCCAGCAGCCGCGGUAAUACGUAGGGGGCAAGCGUUAUCCGGAUUUACUGGGUGUAAAGGGAGCGUAGACGGCAGCGCAAGUCUGGAGUGAAAUGCCGGGGCCCAACCCCGGAACUGCUUUGGAAACUGUGCGGCUCGAGUGCGGGAGAGGUAGGCGGAAUUCCUAGUGUAGCGGUGAAAUGCGUAGAUAUUAGGAGGAACACCAGUGGCGAAGGCGGCUUACUGGACCGUAACUGACGUUGUGGCUCGAAAGCGUGGGGAGCAAACAGGAUUAAAUACCCUGGUAGUCCACGCCGUAAACGAUGAU